rnacentral:rRNA from 1 species
AGCAGCCGCGGUAAUUCCAGCUCCAAUAGCGUAUAUUAAAGUUGUUGCAGUUAAAAAGCUCGUAGUUGAAUUUCGGGAUCAAUAUAACGGUCAUGCCGUUGGUAUGCACUGUUAUAAUUGGUUUCUCACCUUCUAAAGAACCGUAAUGCCAUUAAUUUGGUGUCACGGGGAAUUAGGACUGUUACCUUGAAAAAUUAGAGUGUUUAAAGCAGGCUCACGCUUGAAUACAUUAGCAUGGAAUAAUGAAAUAGGACAUCCGAUUCUAUUUUGUUGGUUUCUAGGAUCGAUGUAAUGAUUAAUAGGGAUAGUUGGGGGCAUUAGUAUUCAAUUGUCAGAGGUGAAAUUCUUGGAUUUAUCGAAGACUAACUACUGCGAAAGCAUUUGCCAAGGAUGUUUUCAUUAAUCAAGAACGAAAGUUAGGGGAUCGAAGACGAUCAGAUACCGUCGUAG